rnacentral:rRNA from 1 species
AGGGAAUCUUCCACAAUGGACGAAAGUCUGAUGGAGCAACGCCGCGUGAGUGAUGAAGGGUUUCGGCUCGUAAAACUCUGUUGUUGGAGAAGAACGGGUGUCAGAGUAACUGUUGACAUCGUGACGGUAUCCAACCAGAAAGCCACGGCUAACUACGUGCCAGCAGCCGCGGUAAUACGUAGGUGGCAAGCGUUGUCCGGAUUUAUUGGGCGUAAAGCGAGCGCAGGCGGUUUUUUAGGUCUG